UCCAGAAUGCAAACAUUUGCAUUAACUUUACUAUUUUACAAUUUUACAAACUAGGUAUAAAAAGAACAUAAAUAAACAAGAUAAGUUAUGCGUACCUAAUUUCCAGGGAAGAGGAACCACUUAUUCUUCCCCACCCAGCAAAAAAUAAUUAAAAAAAAAAAUCCCAAAAGUACAAAUGAACUAAAAUAAAAAAGGGGUCUAACCAACAUAAGAUUAAACAAAAAUUGCUCUGUUAGAACUUCAUUUUUAUACAUUU